GCUGACAUAGCUCAGCAGGAAGAGCACACUCUUGGUAAGGGUGAGGUCGGCAGUUCAAAUCUGCCUGUCAGCA
rfam:secondary endosymbiont of Trabutina mannipara isolate TRABTM genome assembly, chromosome: I